CCCUUAGAUGUUCUGGGCCGCACGCGCGCUACACUGAUGCAUUCAACGAGCACCCGCUGGGCCGAGAGGUCCGGCUAAUCUUUGAACGUGCAUCGUGCUGGGGAUAGAUGAUUGCAAUUAUUCAUCUUCAACGAGGAAUUCCUAGUAAACGCAAGUCAUCAGCUUGCAUUGAUUACGUCCCUGCCCUUUGUACACACCGCCCGUCGCACCUACCGAUUGAAUGGUCCGGUGAAAUCUCGGGACGGCGGCUCGGUCGCUUGCGUCCGACUGCUGAAACUUGAUUAAACCAUAUCAUUUAGAGGAAGGUGAAGUCGUAACA
rnacentral:rRNA from 1 species